AAAUUGUGGGGGGCCAAUUUUUUCUCAUUUCAGAUUUCAGAAAUUAAAAAGAAUUAUUCUUCAAAUAUUAUUUUUUUUUCAAAUUUCAAAUAUUGAAAAAUUUCAAGAAGUAAUCUUUAAUUGCACAGUAUGGCGCAUUAGAUUUGUAAAAUCUUUGAUCACAUUUAUUUAUUUGUUAUGCCGAAUCUAACAGUGUAUUUAGAUUUUUAAUUUUGGGUCCAGUUUUCAAAUUGGUCUACAUUAAUGUCCAAAGGGUCCAAAAUUAAACUUUGUUUGAUUUUAGCAAAAAUUGAAUAUAUGAGGUUCUUUGAUAUGCUGAAUCUAAACAUGUAUUUAGAUUUUUGAUUUUUGGCCCAGUUUUCAAGUUGGUCCAAAUUGGGGUCCAAAAUUAAACUUUGUUUGAUUUCAACAAAAAUUGAAUAUAUGGGGUUCUUUGAUAUGCUGAAUCUAACCAUGUAUUUAGAUUUUUUAUUUGUGGACCCCGUUAUCUAAUUGGUUCAUAUUGAGGUCAAAAGGGUCCAAAAUUAAACUUUGUUUGAUUUCAUCUAAAAUUGAAUUAUUGGGGUUCUUUGAUAUUCCAAAUCUAACCGUGUAUUUAGGUUUUUAAUUUUGGGUCCUGUUUUUUAAAUUGGUCUACAUUGAGGUCCAAAGGGUCCAAAUUAAACUUAGUUUGAUUUUAACAAAAAUUGAAUUCUUGGGGUUCUUUGAUUUGCUGAAUCUAAACAUGUGUUUAGAUUUUUGAUUAUGGGCCCAGUUUUCAAGUUGGUUCAAGAUAGGGUCCAGUAUUUAAACUUUGUUUGAUUUCAACAAAAAUUGAAUAUAUGGGGUUCUUUGAUAUGCUGAAUCUAAACAUGUAUUUAGAUUUUUGAUUAUGGGCCCAGUUUUCAAGUUGGUCCAAAUUGGGGUCCAAAAUUAAACUUUGUUUGAUUUCAACAAAAAUUGAAUAUAUGAGGUUCUUUGAUAUGCUGAAUCUAACCAUGUAUUUAGAUUUUUUAUUUGUAGGCCCCGCUAUCAAAUUGGUUCAUAUUGAGGUCAAAAGGGUCCAAAAUUAAACUUUGUUUGAUUUCAUCGAAAAUUGAAUUAUUGGGGUUCUUUGAUAUGCCAAAUCUAACCGUGUUUUUAGAUUUUUAAUUUGGGUCCCGUUUUUUAAAUUGGUCUUCAUUGAGGUCCAAAGGGUCCAAAAUUAAACUUAGUUUGAUUUUAGCAAAAAUUGAAUUCUUGGGGUUCUUUGAUAUGCUGAAUCUAAACAUGUGUUUAGAUUUUUGAUUAUGGGCCCAGUUUUCAAGUUUGUCCAAGUUGGGGUCCAAAAUUAAACUUUGUUUGAUUUUAACAAAAAUUGAAUAUAUGGGGUUCUUUGAUAUGCUGAAUCUAACCAUGUAUUUUGAUUUUGGACAUUGGACCAUAAUAGGUAAAUUAAAAAAAUUCAAGUUCUUAGACCACAUUCUUUCUGUGUCAGAAACCUAUGCUGUGUCAAAUAUUUAAUAACAAUCCAAAUUCUGAGCUGUAUCAAGCUUGAAUGUUGUGUCCAUACUUGCCCCAACUGUUCAGGGUUCGACCUCUGCGGUCGUAUCAAGCUGCGCCCCAGCGAAGCAUUUUAUUUGGAUUUGUCUCCUUUAAUUCAAACUGACUUUUCAGUUUCAUUUUAGAUUAUUUUCUUUUUUUACUCAUGUAUGUAUUACAUAAAGUCUGAUGUUAGUUUUAUUUGAAGUUUGGUUGUUUUACACUUUACAAUCAGUAGUUUUCACAUGUAGACAAAAUCCAAUUUAAAACACUUGUUGUUAUGUAAAUGAGUCUCUCAUACAGGUGCAUGAUUUUUGAUAUGUUUUAACCUUAUACCAUUGGUUUUCAUUUUCUGUAAGUGUUAUUAGUAAUCCAUACAUACUGUGGAUUUAUUAUUAUUCAUUGGAUACCAAUUUUUGCAAGAGAUAUGAUUGGUAGAGGCAAAAUAAUUAAAUAAAAAAUGAAAGCAACACGUUAUAAAUUAUAACGCAUGCGUCCGAAGCGCUUUUCUGGAUUUACCUUCAUCAGGAACGCUCAAUGCCAAAUAUUUGAAAGCCAAGGAUGUAUAAGAACUUAAAUAGUUGAAGAGCUAUACGACCAAAAAGGACCUGAAAUAUAGCCAAAUCCAUCUUAGGUCAACUUUAAACCAUGAAUUUAAAUGUUCUACGAAGUAUGAAUUUCCUAAAGGCUUGUAUGGAAACUUUGGCAAAUCCACGAAAAUAUGAUUUUUCUUCGAGUCCAAAAAGAAUUGGUACCCACGAAAAAUAAAUAAAUCUUCAGUAUGCUUAAUUAAAUGAAAAUCAUGUAAAUAUUGUGAAAGUUCAUCAGAAUAAGAAGUGAUUUGUAUAUUUUAUUUUAACAAGCACACAAACUGUAAUAGAGUGUAUAAUAUUAAUCACUACUCUUGUGUAGAUUUUAUACACAUAUUAAUGUAUUAUAUUUGUGUAACAAGAAAAAUUCAUUUCAAUUUAUGAUAUGCAAGGCAUGCAUUUUAUAGAAGAUUAGUUUGAAAACAAGAGCUUUGAUUGAUUGAAGCUUCAUAAAUAUUCUUUUGAAAAGUGCGUUAAUUGUUACUAAGUUGUUCCAUAAGAUGAACUGAACUAAUUAUUUUCCUUUGGUGCCACCAGGGGGCAUAUUAUAAGUUUUGAUUUGAACCCUUUAGGGAAUACUUAUUUGUAAACGAAUUAACCAAUUGUAAUAAAUUCAUGGUUUAGCCCUUUCAAAAAUGAUCAUAGUUCUUGGGAUUUGCUUGCUCCAAAAAUUUGGGAACCUAAAAACAUUUACCAUCAAUCCAUGAAGACUUUCUGAAUUAUAACUUCAUUUAAAUAAAAUCAACAGUUUCUUUAUUAUAACUCCAAUUUAUUAAAAUCAACAAUUUCUGAAUUAUAACUCCAUUAAAAUGAAAUCAACAGUUUCUGAAUUAUAACUCCAAUUUAUUAAAAUCAACAAUUUCUGAAUUAUAACUCCAAUUUAAUGAAAUCAAUAGUUUCAUUUCUAAAAUGUCAUUGCUCACCAAACAAUUCACUGACAUAUUUUUUUGGUGAAUUUGUAAAUAAUGAAAUAAAAUCAAAAACCAUUAACUGUUCAAAACAAAUGUGAAUUUAUUGUUUACUUGUAGCUUAUGUUUGUGAUGGUAUUGUAUUUAUUGUGAUACAUUUGUAUGAUAUAAUUACUCUGAUCUCAUUUACCACAUGAUUACAACAUAGGAAAUCAUAUUUGAAUAAAGCUUGAAUAUUU